AUUGAACGCUGGCGGCAGGCCUAACACAUGCAAGUCGAGCGGAUGAAGGGAGCUUGCUCCUGGAUUCAGCGGCGGACGGGUGAGUAAUGCCUAGGAAUCUGCCUGGUAGUGGGGGAUAACGUCCGGAAACGGGCGCUAAUACCGCAUACGUCCUGAGGGAGAAAGUGGGGGAUCUUCGGACCUCACGCUAUCAGAUGAGCCUAGGUCGGAUUAGCUAGUUGGUGGGGUAAAGGCCUACCAAGGCGACGAUCCGUAACUGGUCUGGGAGGAUGAUCAGUCAUGCUGCGACAGGAUGAUGGGCCAGACUGCGACGGGGAGAAGGAGUGGGGAACUUUGGACGGUGGGCGUAGGGCAGAUCCAGCCAUGCGGCGAGGGUGAAGAAGGUCAUCGGAUGGUGAAGCAGUAUAAGCAGGGAGGAAGGGCAGUAAGUUAAGAACAUGCUGUUAUGACGUUACCAACAGAAUAAGCACCGGCUAACUUCGUG
rnacentral:rRNA from 1 species